GGGCGAUUCACUGGGGGCCUAUGGAGGUCGCUGUAGACUUGGGGUGCAGCACGGGCGGGGCAAGGGGACGCGAGGUUGCCCUUGGCCCCAGGGGAGAGGGGCCCCUGGGAGGCCGUGUGGAGGAUUUGUCUGCAGCGAUUAGGACUCUGCUGAUGAAUGAUUUGGAUGCCUUUGGGCAAUAGCCCUCUGGAACAAGACAAUUCAUGUGAGAUAAGAAAGAAGAGCCCACAAGACCAAGGAUGUAUUCUCAGUUUACAGACCACUGACCAGAGGCCACUCCAGGGUGUCAGGACUAAGAGAAGUCACAAAACAGCAGAUUUCCCAAGAGCAGCGGAAAAUGAUCCAGUCACAGGACCUAAGUGUGAAACAGGCUACCUCAUCAUGGACCCCAAUAGGUCAGACUUUGACGGGCCGUGACAAUAACCAGGUAAAUCGUCUGAGGCAACAGCAGACCAUGGCUAUGACGCCACUCCAAGCAGGAUGGUCGGGCCCGGAGGACUGAACAUGGCCUCAGCAGUCACCUCGGCAGUUGCCAUGCCAGGAAAGACGCCCCACAGCCCACUGGAGAGACAGAAGAAUCUGUGUGAAUCUUCUUUACCUGGCCUGAGGCAUCAAUUCAGGCACAGCAGAACACUGGCCAGGAAACUGAACGUGACCUGAAUGUCUUCCAGGCUGAGACAGGUCCUGAGUGCAAUCCCAGAGGGCACACGUGGUCCCCUAGAAACAACGAAUUCACAAGGUCAGGUGCCCCAGCCGGGCACGCACGCCUCAGGUUGUGAGGUUAACAGGGAUCCAAGGUGGCUUCCCAUCGUCGGGCCUCUGUCCAGUCUGGAUCAUUGGGUUUAGGCCUUGACUUCAGAGGGCCUGCCUGGGACUGAGUUCCAAACCAUUCUGUUUAUCCAUGACAUGAGUUUGUUAGUCCCACCUUAUCAAGUGUGGACAGUCUCUGGAGGAGUUCUGCACAGAGCCCAGGAGCCAAGGCAGUCCUCUGCCUCUCCUCGUCAGCACCGUGAGGAAGCCGAGGUGUGGGCUCAGCAGACGGUCCAAGUCCACAGCCGCCACAGUCCAUGGAAAGGCAGCAAGAGGACCUCUUGUGUUUGGUUUUUUAGGAGGAGGAGAAAGCUUUUAGGAGCAGGUCUGAAAAAUAAAGAUCAUUAUUAUUUUUUCCCUUUCCCUGAGCCUCCCAGAUGCCAGUUUUGUUUUGUUUUUCUGUUACCUGUGUGUCCCAUGUAGUAAUCAAAACUUAAGAACAAAAUGUCUCCUGUUUUCAUUCAUACGUGCUGUCUGGAAAGGUUGUAUACAAGAGGGACAAAAUAUUUUUACAUAACCAAAAAGAUAAAUCAUGUUUAAGAAUUGUUGAGCACAAAAUCCUGAACUUUUAAAAGGUUUAAAAAUAGGUUUACAUAUCUCCCGUCUAUUUGAGGCUUCAGAAAGGGGAUGAAAGGGCCUUG
rnacentral:lncRNA from 10 species